rnacentral:rRNA from 1 species
AUUGAACGCUGGCGGCAUGCCUUACACAUGCAAGUCGAACGGUAACGGGUCCUUCGGGAUGCCGACGAGUGGCGAACGGGUGAGUAAUAUAUCGGAACGUGCCCAGUAGUGGGGGAUAACUGCUCGAAAGAGCAGCUAAUACCGCAUACGACCUGAGGGUGAAAGGGGGGGAUCGCAAGACCUCUCGCUAUUGGAGCGGCCGAUAUCAGAUUAGCUAGUUGGUGGGGUAAAGGCCUACCAAGGCAACGAUCUGUAGUUGGUCUGAGAGGACGACCAGCCACACUGGGACUGAGACACGGACCAGACUCCUACGGGAGGCAGCAGUGGGGAAUGUUGGACAAUGGGCGCAAGCCUGAUCCAGCAAUGCCGCGUGCAGGAAGAAGGCCUUCGGGUUGUAAACUGCUUUUGUCAGGGAAGAAAUCUUCUGGGCUAAUACCCCGGGAGGAUGACGGUACCUGAAGAAUAAGCACCGGCUAACUACGUG